GUCCCGCCUGCCCUGUGACAUAUGUUUAACGGCCGCGGUAUUUUGACCGUGCAAAGGUAGCGCAAUCACUUGUCUUUUAAAUGGAGACCUGUAUGAAUGGCAUAACGAGGGCUUAACUGUCUCCUUCCUCCCGUCAAUGAAAUUGAUCUCCCCGUGCAGAAGCGGGGAUUACCCCAUAAGACGAGAAGACCCUGUGGAGCUUCAGACACCAAGGCAGACCUCGUCAAAAAAGCUCGCCCGCUUAAAACCUACCCUGCCUCACUGUCUUUGGUUGGGGCGACCGCGGAGAACUACAAAACCUCCAUGUGGACCGGGAGCACUGUCUCUUACAACUAAGAGUUCCCACUCUAAGCAACAGAACAUCUGACCAAUUAUGAUCCGGCAAAGCCGAUCAACGAACCAAGUUACCCCAGGGAUAACAGCGCAAUCCUCUUUUAGAGCCCAUAUCGACAAGAGGGUUUACGACCUCGAUGUUGGAUCAGGACAUCCUAAUGGUGCAGCCGCUAUUAAGGGUUCGUUUGUUCAACGAUUAAAG
rnacentral:rRNA from 1 species